rnacentral:rRNA from 1 species
GAUGAACGCUAGCGGCAGGCUUAACACAUGCAAGUCGAGGGGUAUAGGUAGCUUGCUACCUAGAGACCGGCAAACGGGUGCGGAACACGUACACAACCUACCUUUAUCAGGGGGAUAGCCUUCGGAAACGGAGAUUAAUACCCCAUAGUAUUAUUUGAUGGCAUCAUUAGAUAAUUAAAGAAUUUCGGAUAGAGAUGGGUGUGCGUAAGAUUAGCUAGUUGGAGAGGUAACGGCUCCCCAAGGCAACGAUCUUUAGCUGAUGUGAGAGCAUGAUCAGCCACACGGGCACUGAGACACGGGCCCGACUCCUACGGGAGGCAGCAGUGAGGAAUAUUGGUCAAUGGACGGAAGUCUGAACCAGCCAUGCCGCGUGAAGGAUGAAGGCGUUCUGCGUUGUAAACUUCUUUUAUUUAGGAAGAAACCACUUUUUUUUAAGAGUGUUGACGGUAUUAAAUGAAUAAGCACCGGCUAACUCCGUGCCAGCAGCCGCGGUAAUACGGAGGGUGCAAGCGUUAUCCGGAUUUACUGGGUUUAAAGGGUGUGUAGGCGGACUUUUAAGUCAGGGGUGAAAUCCCGAGGCUCAACCUCGGAACUGCCUUUGAUACUAUUAGUCUUGAAUUAUGUUGAGGUUGGCGGAAUAUAACAUGUAGCGGUGAAAUGCAUAGAUAUGUUAUAGAACACCGAUUGCGAAGGCAGCUGGCUAAACAUAUAUUGACGCUGAGGCACGAAAGCGUGGGUAGCGAACAGGAUUAGAUACCCUGGUAGUCCACGCCCUAAACGAUGAUUACUCGUCAUUUGUGAUACACAAUAAGUGACCAAUCGAAAGCGUUAAGUAAUCCACCUGGGAAGUACGUCCGCAAGGA